GCAGUGGUAAGGUGUUGGGUCUCUGCUGAUAUCCAGGUGUAGCAGUGGUAAGGUGUUGGGACUCUGCUGAUAUCCAGGUAUAGCAGUGGUAAGGUGUUGGGACUCUGCUGAUAUCCAGGUAUAGCAGUGGUAAGGUGUUGGGACUCUGCUGAUAUCCAGGUAUAGCAGUGGUAAGGUGUUGGGACUCUGCUGAUAUCCAGGUGUAGCAGUGGUAAGGUGUUGGGACUCUGCUGAUAUACAGGUAUAGCAGUGGUAAGGUGUUGGGACUCUGC